AGUAGAGACAGGGUUUCACCAUGUUGGCCAGGAUGGUCUCAAUCUCUUGACCUUGUGAUCUGCCUGCCUCAACCUCCCAAAGUGCUGGAAUUACAAGUGUGAGCCACCGCGCCCAGCCCCAUUUCUUAUUUGGUCUGGCCAUCUUCUAAAGAGUUUGAACCUACUGAAGAACUAUCUUGACUGUCUUGAUGAGGGAGCUGAAGAAAUCCUUCACUGGAGUCUGAGCGGAAGUGGAAUCUAUUUUCCUUCUUCUUGAAUUUGGAAUGCUUUUGGCCAAGAGAAAGAGGUGGAAGUGAUGGUGUAACAGUUCCAAGUCUAGGCCUCAAGUUGCCUGUGGACUUCCACUCAGACUCUCAGAGCCCUGCUGGAGGAUGGAGAGACCACAUGGAACAGAGAAGGGUUAUCCCACCGAGGCCACCAUAGACCAGCCAGCCCUCAGCGUACAUGCCAGCUAAUUACAGAUGCAGGAGCAAACCCCUGGCCCAUACAUCAAUUUUAAUGUCAUUGAAUACAGAGAACAAAUCUCAUUCACUUUGGUAUCGGCUGGAGUCAACAAACAUUUAAAAAUCAUUUACUGCGUCUGAUUUUGGAUUUUGAGUCUUGCUCUAUGGCCCAGACUGGAGUGCAGUGGCGUGAUCUCAGCUCACUUCAACCUCCACCUCCCGGGUUCGAGAGAGAUUCUCCUGCCUCAUCCUCCCGAGUAGCUGGGAUCACCGGCGCCCACAACCACACCCGGCUAAUUUUUGUACUUUUAGUGGAGACAGGGUUUCACCAUGUUGGCUAGGCUGGUCACAAACUCCCGACCUCAGGUUAUCCAUCUGCCUUGGCCUCCCAAAGUGCUGGGAUUACAGGCGUGAGCCCCCGCACCUGGCCAAGAUCAGCUAGAUUUUGGAAGCAUUGCCUUCUACAGAAUCCACAGUAGUCCGAAGCUCUUCUACGGUUUUUGUCAAACUUUGAUUUUCCAUCUCUAGCUUCAAUAAUCUACUUGAUGUCAACUCAUUCACCUCAUGGCCCAGGGAUUUCUGGGGUGCUAUAAUAUUGAAAAAUACACCAUUGUAUUUACUCUUUACUGUUUUUACUAUGUUUACUCUUUACUAUUUAAAAAGUUGAGUGUAUAUGCAUUGCAUCAUCUGAUCCUUAACUUUAUUAAAAAUUCAAUGAGGUUAUAUAAGAUAAACAAGAUAAAAGAAGUAAAUCUUUUUUUUCCUUUUCUUUUUUUCUUUUUUUUAAAGAGACGGGGUCUCUCUCUGUCACCCAGGCUGGAGUGCAGUGAUGUGCUCCUAGCUCACUGCAGCCUCAAACGCCUGGUCUGAAGGGAUCCUCCCACCUCAGUCUCCCAAGCGGCCGGGACUGCAGGUACAGCCAGCUAAUUUUUUUAUUUUUUAGUAAAGACUGGGUCUCUGUUACUUAGGCUGGUCUCGAACUCCUGAGCUCAAGCAAUCCUCCUGCCUUGGCCUCCCAAAGUGCUGGGAUUACAGGCAUGAGCCGCUGCACCCAGCUAAGAGAUACAUGUUUAACUUUUAAUGCAUCCACAGCAUUCUAGUUAAAAAAAGCAUAAAAUUUAGAUUGAAGAAAUUGGAGUUCAAGCAGACCCAUUAAAUAUUUUGCUGAUAUAAGAACAUUAGGAUUUACAAAUGAAAUAUGAGACCUACUAUUUCAAGAAAGGAAAUGAAUAAAGGUACUGGAGAGAAU
rnacentral:lncRNA from 1 species